GCUGUAGCUCAGCGGUGGAGCACUUGGCUAGCAUGCACAAGGCUUGGGUUCUAUCCCCAGCACUGCA
rnacentral:tRNA from 1 species